rnacentral:lncRNA from 1 species
GCCAUAUGCCCUUCACCAAGAUUCCCUCAUCGUUAAGAGUUUCCCCAUCCAGUCUCUCUCUUUUUUUUCUGAAUGACUUAAAUUGCAGACCUCAUGACACUUCAUCCUAAGGAUAUUUCAGCUGGGGUCUAAGGAGAAAGGUAGUCAGUCCUCCUGUACAACGACAAUAUCAUGAACACGUCUAAGAAACUUAACAUUCUGCAAGGAUGUUACCUAAUAUACAGUCCAUAUUGGCAUUUUUUUCUAAUAGUCCAAAAAUGUUCUUUGUAAGCUAUUUCCAAAUUUUUUCUGAUCCAGAAUCCAGUUCAAGAUUCAAUCUAAGAUUGUAUUGAAUUAUCCUAUCUCUUCCGUCUAUAACAGACUCCUCUCCUUUUUUGGGUCCUUCAUACAUUGUUAGUUUGAAGAGUGUGGGCCAGUUACCUUGUGGAAGGACUCAGAAUACGGAUUUGUCUGUUUCCUCGUGACCAGAUCCAGGUUUACUCUUUUUGGGAAGCGUACGAUAUAGUUGAUGUUGGCUCACUGCAUCAGCUCAGGAGGCACACAAGCUGCAUGGAAUUCCGCUGGACAGAUGUGUCUCCAUUCUUUAACCAAUCACCUGCCAGUGGACAUGAGGUCAUUUCUGGUCUUCUGCUGUUACAGACAGUGCUCUGAAGGAUAACACUGAAUGAACAACGAAAUACCACAGGUCUUUGGUGUGGGUGUGUGUCCCUGUAGAGUUGUAUUAGUUGGGAAAUAGGCCAAAUGCUGUAACAAAGAGACCUCAGAUGGCAGGACGGGAUGCUCCACCAUCCCUUGGGCCACUGUCCUGCGCUCUGUUUGCAGGAAGGAGAAAGAGAGAAAGCCCAGGGCAGCAAGUAAUUUAAACAGCUGAGGGCGGAAGUUGAGUGGGUAGCUUCCAUCCCCUUUCCACUGGUGAAAACAUAGCGCCAUGGCCAUAGCUGGCUGCUGGGAAAAUGCAUCAGCUGGAAGCAUGUCCAGAAGAAUAGGGCACAGAACUGAGAAGACAGCCAGCAACCGGCCCCAAGGGAAAUCCCCAGACCUAGACAUGCUGGACCAAAGGUUAGAGACAGGAAAAUAAUGAAUUCUUGGUAAAAUGUAUUUCAUAGGCAAGCACCUCUUGAAGCAUCAGCUCAAAAGAAAGUCUUGAGGUUUGGGAAUCACUGACCAGAUGAUCCCUUCCAGCUCUUAAAAAGAAAUCUAAAAGAAAACCACCAGAAAAAUAGCAAGUGUUGGCAAGGAGGUAGAGAAAUUGAAACCCUUAUGCACUGUUGAUGGGGUCGUAAAAUGGUGCAACCACUAUGGAAAACAGUGUGGAGUUUACUCAAAAAGUUAAAAUAGAAUUGCCAUAUGAUCCAGCAAUCCCACUUCUGGGUAUAUAUCCAGAAGAACUGACAGCAGGGACUCAAACACGUCUUGUUCAUAUGGUCAUAGCAGGGUUAUCCACAAUAGCUAAGAGGCGUAAGCGACUCAGAUGUCCAUUAACAGAGGAAUGGAUAAACCAAAUGGUCUGUACAUACAAGGGAAUACUAUUCAGCCCUAAAAAGGAAGGAAAUUCUGACACACGCUACAACAUGGAUGAAUAUUGAGGGCAUUACGCUGAGUGAAAUAAGCCAGUCACAGAAAGACAAAUACUGUAUGAUUCUGCUUAUAUGAAGUAUCUAAAGUAAUCAAAUCCGUAGAAACAGAAAGUAGAAUCAUGGUUACCAGAGGAUGGCGGGAGGAGGAAUAGGGAGUUGUUGUUCAGUUGGGACAGUGUUAGAUUUGCAAGAUGAAAAAUUCUGGAGAUCCACUUCACAGCAAUGUAAAUAUACUUAACUCUACUGAACUGUGCACGUAAAAAUGGUUAAUAUGGUAAAUUUCGUGUGUUUUUUACCACAAUAAGAA